GAAAACAUAUGAGACAAAUGCUAAUACACUGCGAGAGUUGGUAGAACCUCUCCAUGCCAAAUCGGAUCCACUUCUGUUGGCACUCAACCCAUUGGACUCACAGAUUGAUAAGCUAAUGUUUAGAGAAUUUAGAUCGGAGAGAGUCGGCACGGCGCAGACUCAACAUCAACCUCUUGCAAGCAACUAAAAUGGCCUCGUCCUUGCUGUUUAUAACAGAAAAAUGACUUUUAAAAAAGGUUAGAUCAUCAAGUGUUUUGGAUUGGGGGCCUCCCUAAAGGGAUAUUAAGAGGGGCAGGCCACUCUUAAGAAGAAUGCAAGCUUCCUACACUGGGACUAGCGUAAGAUCAAAGCCUAUCAAGAUGGAGCACAGUGACAGAAAACUGCCGUUUCUAUGGGAGAACAGAAGGGGAAGGGUACUGACCGGGGAAGGGCUGUGUGUCGUGACACCUCAGUUGUGUUCUCCUGACACCAGGAAAGGAGAGGGAUCAGCUCCGAUAACUAGACAACCCUGGCUAUUUAACGGACUCUUUGGUGGCCUCUUUAAGACAAAGCGAGGAAGCAAAUUCUGUGUAUUAAGUGUAUUUUGCAUUUUUAAAACUUGACGUGCUGUAUUGUACUAAAUUAAGUGUAAUCUAUUAAGGCAAGGUAUACACAACCUGCUCUGAAAUUUACUGUUUAUUCUAUUAUAAAGUGUAUUCAGGUGCAACACAGAGACUGCUUUCGGUGACACUAAUGAAGAAAAUUCCUCAUGCCAGGCUUUAUUAGAUUCCUCAGCUAAAAUCCUAACUUUCUCCUUAUUUCUUGGCACUUGUAUACAAAUGGUGUUGCCUCAUAGGACAGGCAUGAGCUAUUCUUUUUCUGUAAAAUUUUCCAAAUCUAUAGGCUGUGGUUCUCACUUUUGAAAAAGUAUUUUGUCUGGAUGUCUUUCGAACUAGCUGCAGAUAUUAUUUAAUACUAUGUAACUGGGUCCCCUAUGGCUCAAUAAUGCUUAUUUUUCUUCUGUAGUGGAUGUGAAAUUUCCUUAAUUUAGUUGGAUUAAGACACUCUGUAAUAAUUUCAAUGCUAAUUAAUGGAUAUUUCAUACUGUGCAAUGAACAAAUAAUUUAACAUUGUAUUUGGAAAUGUUUUUUUUCCUUCCUGUCACCGCAGUGUGUGGUAUUGCAUAAUGUGAAUACCUGUAAAAAUAUAAAUUACUUAAAAAUAAAAAUAUGACCAAUUGGUAUCAAAUCUUUUUAGAUAGCUAAAUAAUUUGCUAAGUAUGCUUGAUAGUAAAUAUCUUUCCAAAGAGGAGAAAUCUAUGCUUCUUUCCCACAAAUGGAAUUUGUGUUGUGAAUAAAAUCACAUUGAUCUGCCUUA